rnacentral:lncRNA from 1 species
UUUCUUCCAGGUUCAGAGACCCCCAUCCUGGGAGGCACAGACGAGCCUUCCCCUGCCUCUUUCCCCGUCUCCAUCAUGCUGCGAGGGGGCUGGAGGGGAGAGGAGUGCAGGACCCAGCCCUGAGCUGCUGACAUGGCCUCCAGAAACAUCUUUGGGAGCCUUUGGUCUUCUGUGGGAUCUCAUUGUGGAUGGAAUCUUCCUUCAGCCUGAUGAAGACAAGCACCUGUGGUGCCCCUCACUGCAAGAAGUCAGGGAGGCAUUCCACAGCCUGGGUGCCCACAGUCCUGCCCUGUACCCUCUGGGGCCCUUUUGGCACGGUGGCAGGGUGCUUCCAGGCGAGGCUGGCCUGAAUGAGAAUGAGGAGCAGGACGCUCCCCAAGAGAUUGCCUUGGACAUCAGCCUGGGCCACAUCUACAAGUUUCUGGCGCUGUGUGCCCAGGCCCAGCCGGGGGCCUACACUGAUGAGAACCUCAUGGGACUGAUUGAGCUGCUGUGCCGCACCAGCCUGGACGUGGGGCUCCGCCUGCUGCCCAAAGUUGACC